GACGGAGGAUGCAAGCGUUAUCCGGAAUGAUUGGGCGUAAAGCGUCCGCAGGUGGCAGUUCAAGUCUGCUGUCAAAGACCGGGGCUUAACUUCGGAAAGGCAGUGGAAACUGAACAGCUAGAGUAUGGUAGGGGCAGAGGGAAUUCCCGGUGUAGCGGUGAAAUGCGUAGAGAUCAGGAAGAACAUCGGUGGCGAAGGCGCUCUGCUGGGCCAUAACUGACACUCAGGGACGAAAGCUAGGGGAGCGAAUGGG
rnacentral:rRNA from 1 species